UAGUGGCAUCUUGGGGGUGGGAUAAGCUUUGGGACCAAUAGGUCAUGAGUUCGAUUCCCACAAGGGGGUUUUCCCAUAUUUAUUGGGUUUCCUCCUGAAUUGGUAUAUAGGCAUUAUGCCUAGUGGAGAUGGAUAUGAUCGGGUGGUUCCGCUGGUGGCACGAUGAUACUCCAGUGGUCCGUCAGUGAUCCAAAUUUGCCGUUCAAAAAAAAAAAAAAAAACACACUCGCUGUCCAUCAUCAAUCAUCCACCUUCAAAGAACCCCUAAAAAUCAAAUCUUUCACCCCAAUUCCAUCCAAAUAAUGGGCAAAGAUGAUGAUGAUAUAAGGGGUGAAAUGGAAGAAGAACACACCCUUUUUGUACGAUCUGGUCAUCACACACGCACUCGAGUGGCCUUCACUCACCGUUGAGUGGCUCCCGGACGGUGAUGAGCCUACCGGAAAAGAUUACUCCGUUCAGAAGCUGAUUCUUGAGACCCACACCUCGGAAAACGAGCCAAGUUAUCUUAUGCUGGCUUAGGUUUAGUUGCCUCUUGAAGAUGCUGAGUAUGAUGCUCGUCAUUAUGAUGAUGAUCUAUCUGAUUUUGGUGGAUUUGGUGGGACUAAUGGAAAGGGGUUGAUCUUUGUUUGUUGGAAUUGUUGAAAUCUUAUGCAAACUCAAAGACGGGAGAGAAGUUGCAGUGAGCACAACUACAAUCAAGUCCACCAAUUCAGAAUAAUGGGGAUAUUGGUGGUGGUUCUUGGUGGCCAGCCAUAGAGACAGAGAAAGAUUAAGGUGAAGGUUGGAGAAAAGGGACUUAGGGUUAUAAAUAGGGAAAUAGAAAGGGUUUGAGAUGGAAAAAGACUAUUGUACCCUCAUGUGCCUUGCACAUGAGGUAUUUUAACUGAGAUUUCUAACCUGGUUUG
rnacentral:lncRNA from 1 species